rnacentral:rRNA from 1 species
CCUACGGGAGGCAGCAGUGAGGAAUAUUGGUCAAUGGGCUUACGCCUGAACCAGCCAAGUCGCGUGAGGGAAGACUGCCCUAUGGGUUGUAAACCUCUUUUGUCAGGGAGCAACGCCGGCUACGUGUAGCCGGACUGAGAGUACCUGAAGAAAAAGCAUCGGCUAACUCCGUGCCAGCAGCCGCGGUAAUACGGAGGAUGCGAGCGUUAUCCGGAUUUAUUGGGUUUAAAGGGUGCGUAGGCGGACUGCCAAGUCAGCGGUAAAAUCGCGGGGCUCAACCUCGCUCCGCCGUUGAAACUGGCGGUCUUGAGAUGUCGAGAGGGAUGCGGAAUGCGCAGUGUAGCGGUGAAAUGCUUAGAUAUUGCGCAGAACUCCGAUUGCGAAGGCAGCAUACCGGCGGCGAUCUGACGCUGAGGCACGAAAGCGUGGGUAUCGAACAGGAUUAGAUACCCGGGUAGUC